GAGAAAACACCGUCGGGACUGGUCUACAACCAGAUGGUGUCAGAAGGWUAACCAGUUGUGCCACAAGUGCAGAGUCUGAAUGGUGCUUGCUUCCAACUCUGUGCUGUCUGAAGCAAUGCAACAUAUCCCAAGGCCAAAAAUUGUAUGAAUAAACCAGUAUUCAAGACAGAUGGCAGAAGUGGAAGAAAUGAGCAGUAGCACUGCCAUUGAGCUGCAUCUUCAAAUUCCUCCUUAAAGAUCACUCAGUGAGAC
rnacentral:lncRNA from 1 species